ensembl:snRNA U6 U6 spliceosomal RNA
GCACUCACUUCAGCAGCACAUAUACUAAAAUUGGAGUGAUACAUAGAAGAUUAGCAUGGCCCCUAUGCAAGGAUGACAUGCAAAUUCAUGAAGCAUUCCAUAUUUUU